rnacentral:rRNA from 1 species
UACGUAGGGGGCAAGCGUUGUCCGGAAUCAUUGGGCGUAAAGCGCGUGUAGGCGGCUCGAUAAGUCUGCUGUGAAAGUCCAAGGCUCAACCUUGGGAUGCCGGUGGAUACUGUCGAGCUCGAGUCCGGAAGAGGAGUGUGGAAUUCCCGGUGUAGCGGUGAAAUGCGCAGAUAUCGGGAGGAACACCAGUAGCGAAGGCGGCACUCUGGGCCGUGACUGACGCUGAGGAGCGAAAGCGUGGGUAGCAAACAGG